AAGAUCAUAUUUUCAGGGAUAAUUUCUAUAGUCUUUGACUUGAGAAAUAUCGUAGAAAGUGAUCCGUUACUCUAACCACGAUGAAGAGAACUGAUGAUCACUUCUGAGCGCCGAAGCGGCAGUGAGUGAUGAUGCAUUUCAUCCGCUUCUUGCCAUUGAUGACCGCUCCAUGUUCUCUAGUGGAGCCUGGAUGUAGGGAUCAUGAUCAGAGUGGU
ensembl:snoRNA U3 Small nucleolar RNA U3